rnacentral:rRNA from 1 species
CACSGGCACCBCGAGUGGUWGCCRYUWUUAUUGGGCCUAAAGCGUUCGUAGCCGGUUUURUAAAUUCUUGGGUAAAUCGUACGGCUUAACUGURCGGAUUCCGGGGACACURCUARACUUGRGACCGGGAGAGAUUAGAGGUACUUGUGGGGGAGCGGUGAAAUGUUGUAAUCCURCAGGGACCACCAGUGGCGAAGGCGUCUAAUYAGAACGGCUCUGACGGUGAGGAACGAAACCCUGGGGAGCAAACGGGAUUAGAUACCCCGGUAGUCCAGGGCGUAAACGCUGCUGACUUGGUGUUGGACAUCCUACGAGGVUGUCCAGUGUYGGAGCGAAGGUGUUAAGUCAGCCGCCUGGGRAGUACGGUCGCAAGRCUGAAACUUAA